rnacentral:lncRNA from 1 species
ACUCGCACACACAGUCGCUCACCCGCGCCGGGCGCCCGCCCGCCGGCCGCUCGGGCUACGCGCAGCGCGCGGGCUGAGCCGACAUAGAGGAAGCCGGCGAGGGCGGAGGCGGCGGCGGCGGCGGAGGAGGAGGAGGUCGCGGCUGCAGGCGCCGCUGGAGCUGCCGCCGGAGCUGCUGCGGCGAGCGCCGCUGGAGGAGCCGGGACCCGGGCCGGAGUCCGAGCAGGAGUCGGGGCCGCAGCCGGAGCGCGAGCGGAGGCCGGGGCCGCCCGCGGCGCCGCCGCUGUCCCGGCGGGAGCCCUCGCCGGGCUCGGGAGUGCGGGGAGCGCGGUGAGCCGAGCAGGGCGCUGGGCGAGGCUGCCGCCGGCGAUCAGGGCGCGCGGGUGUCGGGGGGCCAGGUCCAGGGCCGGACGCAGCCAGCCAUUCAGGAAGGCAGCGCUGGAGAGCGGGAGGCAGCCGGCGAGGAAGAUCACACACUUUGCUCUUUUUGUUGUGCCGGUGGCGCCGGGCUCUCGCUGCCUUCUUCUUUCGGGAGGUGACGGAAGGGGGAGAAAAAUACGGGAUAAUUCACGCCGGCGACGAAAUCACAGCGAAAUAGAAAAAAUAAAAAUCAGAAGAAAAUAAUUGCCAAAAAAAGGAAAAAGGAAAAGCGAGAGAGACAUCCAAACAGGUAGAUGAAACUCAAGAGAAAAGGUGUGGAUAAAUGAAACUAGCCCAUGAUGAACCUGUUUUCUCCGUGACCACAAUAUUAACCAGGAUGAAUGGCGGUGGCAGUGGGCCUGCAUCACAGGUUGCAGCAGAUGUUCUCAAUAUUUCUAUUAAAAUUUCCUUAUUUCCAUAUGCAAGAGGAGCCCCAGAGCUGCAUCCUUAUGGUAGCUACCAUGCCGUGAUGUAAGCUGCCAUUCACUGGGGAGCUUUGGCAAUAGAAUUGGCUAGAUCAGGAAGCCUAUGUCAACUAUGGAACAACAACUUGCAGCUCAUCUCUAUUGAUGAUGGAAUCUCGCUAUGUCACCAGGCUGGAGUGCAGUGGCGCAACCUCGGCUCAGCGCAACAUCCGCCUCCCGGGUUCAAGUGAUUCUCCUACCUCAGCCUCCUGAGUAGCUGGGAUUACAGGAAUCUAAUGACCAUUGAACUGUGGCCAUGACUUCAAUUACAAGUAUUUUCUUCACUAAUGUCAGACUGUGGGCCUUUGUAUAUACACUUUUAACAAACUUUUUGGAAGUGCAAUACAUAUCGCAACAACUUCUCAAUGCUGAAUCAUAGUAUUGGAAGACAUUUUAAGCAACAAUUAAACUCAACUUAUUUACUACCAAUAAUGUACAUAAGUCAGCUGAAGUGAGGAUAACAUGAAUAGCACAAAUACAUUAUGAUUGCUGCCUGGCCAACAGUAAUUAUAAGAAACUGUCAGUUUUGAGAUGUGUCUUGAUUUCAGAGAUGUUAAAAAAGUUUGUAAGUUACCAUUGAUAAAAUAUGAGUUUGCUUCCACAAAUAUUCUUUCUUCUGUCCUUCUGGAACUCAAGAGUAAACAUAUAUUAGAUUUUCUCACCAUUUCAUGCAUGCUGGUUCCUAGGCUACUCUCUGAGUCAUUUUUUUUUUCUUAUCUGCCCUCCAGUUCACUAGUUCUGUCAUUUUCUGGGUCUGAUCUGCUGCAAAUGCAAUACAUUGAGUUUUAAAUUUCAGUCAUUGUGUUUUCAUUUCUAGAAAUUUCAUUUGACUCUUUCUCAAAUUACUUUUCCAUUUUUUUUGUAGUUUCCUAUCCCUGGAGAUAUUUUCAAUCAUGCCAUUUAAUUUUUUAAAUACGCAAGUGUAGUUUUAUAAUUUGUGUCUGAUAAUUCUAAUAUCUGAAGUCUUAGUAGGUCUGUUUCAGUUGUCCUGUAAUUAUGCAUGUUUUUGCCCAUGUUGCUUUGUUUCCUUGUAUGCUUGGUUAUCUUUCUUACUGCCCUUGCAAAAUUAUUUGGAGAGUCCUGGAGGCUUAAAUGAAGAUAACUUUUAGGAAUAAUUUGCAUUUGCUUUUGCCGAGGAUCUUGGGAUCAUUUCAACCAAAAUCUUAGCUUGAAAUUCCGCAAUCAAUCAAGGUGAUGAGAACCUGGUCAGUAAAUCCUAAUGAGGGCCAGGCUGUGGCCAAAGAUUUUUAGACAGAUGUUUCCCUCCUUUGCCAUUUCUCUUUUCUUUCCUCCUCUGCUCCUCUUAGUGUCCAGACAACCUUCAUGGAAGUCCUUGGGGUGGGUGGGAAAUGAGGACGGCAGGUUUCAUUCUAGGUAUAGCCCUUUGAGGUCUAACUUAAUGCAGAGAGAGUUUUCUGGUCUAUGUGCCACCUUACAUGGGAUCUUGAGCCUUGAUUUCUAAACCCCUUGCCUUUGAUGUUUCAGAAUUGAAGCUUAAAUUUGCCAACAGGCAAAUGUCCUCAAGGCAAAUUGGCUUAGGUGUUCGAUAUUCUUCUUACCAGAAAGGUAAACUUGGGUUUUUUACUUCACCCAGGAUUUGGCAUGACAGUUCCCCAUUAUCUUGUCAGCUUAGUGCUUUAAGUGAUUGCAUUUAAAAAAAUUCUGCAUUUUCAGUUUUUAGCAGGAGGAAUGGCCUCAACUAGUGGUUUUCAACUGGGGAUGAUUUUUUUCCCCUAGGGGACAUUUGAUAAUGUUUGGAGAUGUUUUAGUUGUUAGAACUGGGGUUGGGGGAACUACUGUCAUCUGGUGGGGAGAGACCGGCAAUGCUGUUGAUCUUACUAUAAUGCACAGGCCACCCCCAACAACAAACAAAUUACAUAGCCCCAAAUAUCAAUAAUGCCAAGGUCCAAAUAACCUAACCUUCCAUUACUGAAAAUAGAAGUUCAAGAAGAUAGUUUAUAAUUUAAAAAUUUUUAGGUCUUAAUAAGUUGUCAUACUUUCACAGGUUUUAUUUCAUACUAAGUAAUUUAUUUCAAAUUUUACAUUCCAAUUACAGAAAAUUUUCUAAGCCAGUUUUUGUUCUUCAUGAGUAUUACUAUCAAGGUCACAUUUUUCAUCUAGUAUGUUUUACCCUGGUACUUGUUGGCAGGGUCAGGACUAAGGUGAGAUGCGCAAGGCAUUUGCCUCACACAAAAUGCACAAUGAAUAAAAUGUCAAAACUUUAAAUAAAGACAGAAUCACUAAAAGUACUUUGCCAUAUUGGAACCUGAGGCAAAAAGAAAAAUAAGUAAUAAUAUUUAAAAUUUUGAUCUCUUGUUCAUUGUAGAUUUUUACAUUAAUUUUGAUUGUUUAAAACAUUGCAUUAAAAUAUUAUUUAAUGUG